CCCUCUCCCAGAGGAUGAAAAGAAGAAGGGAGAGAUGAGGGGAGGCUCCACUCAGCUGUGGGACCACAGAAGGCAGGAUAAGUGAUGACCUCCACCAUGGGCUGGUCCCCUCUCCUCCUCACCCUCCUCACUCACUGCACAGGGUCCUGGGCCCAGUCUGUGUUGACUCAACCGGCCUCAGUGUCUGGGUCCCUGGGCCAGAGGGUCAUCAUCUCCUGCACUGGAAGCAGCUCCAGCAUUGGCAGAGGUUAUGUGGGCUGGUACCAACAGCUCCCAGGAACAGGCCCCAGAACCCUCAUCUAUGGUAUUAGUAACCUACCCCCGGGAGUCCCCAAUAGAUUCUCUGGUUCGAGGUCAGGCAGCACAGCCACCCUGACCAUCGCUGAGCUCCAGGCUGAGGACGAGGCUGAUUAUUACUGCUCAUCGUGGGACAGAAGUCUCAGUGCUCCCACGGUGCUCCAGGCCUGUGGGGAAGUGAGACAAAAACCCACUUGCCCAUCUGUAAAAAAUUCUCCAGCUGUCACAUCUUCCUGCAAAAACACCCUGGCACAUCUGCCCCUUGUGCUCCAAGGUUCCCUGUCCCAGCCUGUGCUGACCCAGCCGCCCUCCCUCUCUGCAUCCCUGGGAACAACAGCCAGACUCACCUGCACCAUGAGCAGCAGCUACAGUGGUGGCCAUACACUGGUUCCAGCAGCCAGGAGGCCUCCUGAGUACCUGCUGAUGGUCUACUGA